AGUCUUUGAUCGUCUCCAACUACGCAGGGAUUCAGGUGAACUCGGUAGCAGCAUUUGUUUGAUCUCUCCCUUCAGAAAUCGAACAGGGUCAUGAUCGUACGCUCAGUGAUCGUCUCCCCACCCCGUUUGGUUGAUGCGCUCAAUGUAGGAGGGUCCACGCUUCCGGUGACGAAGCAAGACCGCCAUUGGACCGAGUAAUCCUUUUCAGCCAUUUCAGAAAAGGAAAAUUCCCAACAUUCCUCUCUGAUUCCCCGACUCUCUCGACCUUUGCCCCAAAUCAUUCCCUCCCUCUUAUCAUGACGAAUUGUUUUUCCAUUCCACUCGAAACAUUUCUCUCUCUCUCUCUUCUUUCUGUCUGUUUAAUGCUCUGAUAGUGGUUGUUUGGUUUGUGCUUUGCAGUUCUGGGUAUAAAGAGUAUUCUUCUACAGAAGAAGUGAAAGAAGUCUACAAUGAACUUUCGUCCAGGAAUUAAGAAGUGGAUGUUCCUAUUACUAGUGAUUUAUUAAAGGUGACCACACUUCCUAGGCAGCAAGAAAAUUAUUUUCUUUAUGGUCAAGUUGGUUCUCAACUAUAAGAUACUAGUCAUGAUUGGGGAUGGUGCAACUGUGGAAUGUCUGAUACCCUGUCACGGAUUGUACCUCCCAUUAGAAACUACUCUCAGUUUUCUCCAAACAGGUAUAAUAGGAAACUAUGGUUAAUUGUUCCUAAAUUUGCAUUUACAGACUUGCCAGUGUAUUUUGUGUAAGCUUUACUGGAAUCCAUUGUUAUAUGGCAAUUGGAUAGGAUCAAUAUGCAGUCCUGGCCAAAUGUAGAGGUAGAGAUAGAGGUAUCAGCACUUUCUGAUUGCAUUACUAUGUUUUAUACAUAUCAGUUCACUUAUUGUGAAGCUUUUAAUGUUUCAUUGCCUUUGAUUUCAGUUAAAAAAAAUUGUUGGACAGAUAAACAAGUAAUGUUGACCGCUAUGUACUUGUGAAACUCAACAGUUCCCAUGCCUAAGCAGGUUAAUGAUGGCAGUAAUGCGGUAUAUGGGAAAGUAAUGCCUAAGUGUUUGCAAUUUGUGAAGAUUUAAUCCACAAAUUCAAUCUUGCAAAGUUUCUGGUGUGUAUGGUCAACACUUGGAGAGGAUUUAAGCUGGUGUGAUUUCUCAGACUCGAUGAUUAAGUAGCAGAAGGGCAAAACACAUCGUUUCAUUUACUUGGAAAUAAAGAAGGACAAAGUGGUCAUUUCAAGCCUAUUAUAAUAGAAUAACUGCAAGCUACAUGUCUUAAUCUAAGUGAUUCCUCAUGAUAAGUUGGACGACGUCGUUUUGAAGCUGUUAUGCAAUAUAUAUAUACAGAACUCUUCCUCUUCGAGCCAAGUAAUAGAAAUACCAGUUUUUCUUCAAGAUUGAGAAAGAGAGAGGAGCUCCAAGAUUCGUGUUCUACAUUUUCUUCUAUUGUGUUCAUUUUUCUUUGUGAAAAAUCUCUGAGUGAAUUAGAUUGAAUACACAAAAUAGGAAGGGUGUAGAAAGGGGCUUCGGGUUUUGGUUGUGUUUUCUGUGUGAAAACCAGAUUGUGUACAAGUGUUGUUUUCUCUGUAAUUGUUGCAAGAUUAAUAAGAGAUCAGAAGGUCUCGGUAGAGCAACGAGGACGUAGGCUAUCUUGGCCGAACCUCAAUAGAUUUGUGUUGUUUGUUAGUUCUGAUUUCCAACAGUGGUAUCAGAGCUUGGUUAAGUGUUCUUGAUACUUGGUUUUUAUAUUUUUCUGUGAGAAUCAUCUUUGUGAGGGUCUUCAAUUUUCUGAGAAGUCAAGAAUGUCUACAAAAUUGAAAAUUGAUGUUUUCAAUGGCAAAGGAGAUUUCUUGUUGUGGCUCAAGAAAAUGAGAGCAGUACUGGUGUAGAUGAAGGUGGCUAAGGCAAUCGAUGGAAUUUAUACUACUGAUGUUACUGAUGAAAAGAAGCAUGAGAUUGAUGAGAUUGCAAUGAGCACAAUUAUAUUGCAUCUCUCUGAUAGUGUUCUAAGGCAAGUCGAUGAUGUAAGUACUACUUCUCAAAUGUGGCAAAAGCUUGAACAGCUUUACUUGAUAAGAUCCUUACCUGAUAGAAUUCUUUUACUUGAGCAAUUUUUUGGCUUUAAGAUGGAUACUACUAAGUAUUUAGACGCAAAUCUUGAUGCCUUUAAUCGUUUAAUCUUAAGCCUUGCAAAUUGUAAGGUUACUUUUGAUGAUGAACAUCAUGCUGUGAUCUUAUUAAACUCAUUGCCUGAAACUUAUAGAGAAGUAAAGAAUUCUAUUAAGUAUGGUAGGGACUCCUUGACCUUAGAUACUGUUGUAAGUGCCUUUAGAUCUAGAGAUUUGGAAUUGAAGUUUGAAUCCAAAGGUGAAGGACUUACUGUGAGGGGUAGGAGUGCUACUCGAAGUUGGGGUCAUUGUGACCACAAGAGUAAGUCUAGGGAGAAUUUCAGGUCUAAAUCUAGAACCAGGGGUAGGAGGUGCUAUUACUGUAAGAGAGAGGGAUACAUUAUUAAAAAUUGUUUUAAGAAGAAGAAAGAUGAGAAAGAAAAGAGUCAAGAAUCUGGAGAUUUAGCAGUGGCCUACACUGGUUUAGAACAUGCAGAAGUCUUGGUAGUGUCCACAAGCCAAAAUCACAUUGAAUAGGUGUUGGAUUCUGGCUGCUCUUUUCACAUGUGUCCUGAUUUGAGUUGUUUCAACUCAUAUACUAAGUGUGAUGGUGGCCAAGUUUUGUUAGGCAAUAAUCGAUCUUGUUCAGUAACUUGCAUUGGUAAUGUGCAGCUACAGUUAGUAGAUGGUACCAUUAAGACUCUUACUGUAGUAAGGCAUGUGCUUGAUUUGAAGAAAAAUUUAAUUUCUCUUGACAUGUUAGAUGAAUCUGGUUUGUCCAGUAAAGCAGAGAAUGGUGUCAUAAAAGUGACCAGAGGAUCACUUGUAGUAAUGAAGGGUCAGAAGAAAAAUGGCCUAUAUGUCUUACUUGGUAAGAUAUUAGUCAAUUCGAGUAAUGCUUCUAUAAGUUCACCUGCUGAUAAAACUGCUUUGUGGCAUAAGAGAUUAGGCUACAUUAGUGAAAAAGGCCUGUAUUACUUGAAUAAACAAAAUGUUUUUGAUAAGGAUGUAGUCAGUAAUUCAGAGUCUUGUGAAACCUGCAUUUUAGGCAAACAACACAGGCUCAGUUUUAAUUUGAGCUCAAAUAGGGCCAAAUUUGUCUUAGACUAUGUUCAUGCUGAUUUGUGGGGACUUGCUAGGGUGCAAACACAGAGUGGAAACAGAUAUUUUUUGUCUAUAAUUGAUGAUUAUUUUAGAAAAGUCUAGAUAUACUUGUUAAAGACUAAAGAUGAGGUUUUUUCAAGGUUUAAAGAGUGGAAAUUGCUGGUUGAAAAUCAAACCAGCAAAACUGUUAAAAUUUUAAGAACAGACAAUGGUCUUGAGUUUUGCAAUAGAGAAUUUGAUGACUUUUGCAAGUCAAAUGGUAUUUUAAGGCAUAGAACUGUGAAAUACACACCACAGCAAAAUGGUGUGGCUGAAAGAAUGAAUAGAACCUUACUUGAUAAGGUAAGAUGCAUGCUAGUGUCAUCUGGGUUACCUAAGCUAUUUUGGGGUGAGGCUGUUAUGACAGUCAUGUAUUUGGUGAACUUGUGACCUUCUACAGCUUUAAAUUUUAGAACUCCUGAACAAAUGUGGCUUGGUAAGAAGCUUGAUUAUAGCAAGCUGAGGAUUUUUGGCGGUGCUGCAUAUGUCCAUCAAUCUGAAAGGAAACUUGAACCUAGGAGUUUGAAAUGUAUUUUCUUAGGCUACCCUCAGGGAAUUAAAGGCUAUAGGCUUUGGGAUAGAGAAAGUAAAGGUUUUAAAGUCAUUAUUAGUAGAGAUGUCAUUUUUGAUGAAAAUUCUAUGCCUUGCAAAGAUACUAACAGUGUAGGUGAUGAAAUGAGCAACAAAGUGGAGACAAGAAGUUUAAAUCUGUUUCCUGAGGUGGAAAACCAAGAUAGUGAAGAUUUGGAUGAAAGGCCAACUUCAGAAGGAGUAAAUGAACCUGCAAGAGGUGAUGAACCAGAAAAACUAACACCUGCUUAGUCUGAUGAAGAUUCUGAAGAUGAUCACACCCAACAGCAAUCACCAAGUACAAGAAACAAAAAUAUAGCAUCACCUGGCUAUUUGCUGACAAGAGAUAGAGCUAAGAGGAAAGUGAAACCAAACAGGAAGUACAGUUAUGCAGACUACAUAGCUUAUGCCUUGAUGGCAUUCGAAGAGCUCACUGAUAAUGAGCCAAGGAGUUACAAAGAAGCAGUGAAAUCUAAGAAAUCAGCAAAAUGAAAAGAAGCCAUGAAGGAGGAAAUGGAAUCUCUCCAUAAGAACAGUACUUGGGACUUAGUACCAACACCAACAAAUUAAAGAGUUAUAGAUUGUAAAUGGAUCUACAAGGUCAAGGAAGGCAUGUCUAAAUCUGAAUCAGUGAGGUUCAAGGCCAGAUUAGUGGCCAAGGGGUUUACUCAGGUGGAAGGAGUAGACUACAAUGAGAUUUUUUCACCGGUUGUGAAGUAUACAAGUAUAAGAGUCAUAUUGGUAUUAGUGACUCAUUUUGAAUGGGAAUUAGAACAAAUGGCUGUCAAGACUGCCUUUUUCCAUGGUGAAUUGGAAGAAAUAAUAUAUAUGAAGCAGCCUGAAGGUUUUGAGAUUAAAGGGAAAGGUGGAGAUUUGGUGUGCUUGCUUAAGAAAUCACUGUAUGGACUUAAGCAAUCACCAAGGCAGUGGUAUAAACGUUUUGACUCAUUUGUGGUGAAAUCUGGUUUUGAAAGAAGUAAUUUUGACAGCUGUUUAUAUUUUAAAGAUCCUAUGACAGAUAAAGCAGUGUAUCUACUGUUAUAUGUAGAUGACAUGCUUCUAGCUGGACCAAAUGGCAGAAUUAUACAAAUUGUGAAGAACUU